UCGUCGACUGUUCGUGCUUUUGAGACGAACCGAGUUUAGGCUGCUUGCCAGGAGUUUUCACGUGGAUUAGCAAGCAGGUUAUGAUUUUGAGCGAGUCAGCUGGUCUCCGAUUCUUUAUUUCCUCGGAGGUCUUAUUUUUAUUAAAGUUAUUAAAUUGAUUUUAUUCUUAGACCGCAGUAGUAAUUAGAAGUCUUAUUUGUCUAAUACUUGUUAUACAAUUAUUCAAUUGAUUUAUAUUUUAUUUAGCA